CACGGGCUCUGGAGGAAGCAUAGCACCUCGCCCUGAGCCCCAUGCCCCACUCUGAUGGCCUCUGAGUGAUUGGAUCCUGCGUUCACCCUGCCUUAGACAAGGCUCCCCCACUUCACCCACCCUCGAGCAAAUUCAGGUAGAAGCUACCGCUACAUCUCCUCUGUAAUCUGGGAAGAAGCCUGAAGCCCAUGGUCUCCGAAGACCUCCUCCACCACAAAUGUGAAUCCAGCCCUGCAAGGCCACACCCAUGUCACCGAGCCAGAGCCAAACUACCAGAGCCCUCUCGCUUGUCAGCGCCAGGAAUUGAGGUGAACCUACACUGAAAUUGGUGUGAAUGCUGUUGAGUGUGUAAAACUAUCCUUGUGCACUGGCACAGUUGUUCCACCAUCCAGUCACAUCGUCUACUCUCGCUGGAGCUUUUUGCCACUGACAUCAGCUGGCACUGAGUUUUUCACUGCUUUCAUGGCAUCUUCUAAUCCGCCAAUCAGUCGGCUAAGUCUCCUCGAAAAUAGUGACAGAGGCUGCUUCCCGUGACCACGAAGGCUGACACUGAGCACACCAAGCCCCGCUGUGAUAAGAGGGGAGAGCAGGGCCACUGCACAGCUGCUGAAAUCCGGGUUUGCCUCAACCCUUUGGAAACACGCAGAAUAUUCAGUUGCACCCGCCGCAACAUAGCUUCUGCAACCUCCCUGUCACCGAGACCCAGUCCUGGUCUUAAUCUCUUACCUGAUGGGAGUCCUGCUGUGCCCUUUCCCGCGACCUCCGCUCCUCUUGGCCACUCUGGUUCCGUCCCAGUCCUGCAGACCAAGCUGGAAACACCAGAGAAAUGCCUUCCCGCCACUCUUCUGGAAUAUGCGACAGACCCAGCUCUGCACCAGGCUCUCGGGUAUUAGUCCUGCGUGCUGAGAGGACUUUGCCUCCCUGGUGUCUAUCUCCUGUACCCUCCUCACCAUGUCUGCUUCCUGGGUGGACAGGCUGAACGACAUGAUGUUUGGGACAGAGAAGUCCUGCAACCUCAAAGCAGCAAUGCAAUCAGACACAGGCCCAGCCGGGGUACUGGGGCCUGGGGAGCAGAGCAGGCCUGCAGACUUGGUGUCUUGCCUGGCUGUCACCACUGGCCCUCACCUGGGCUCCAGUCCAGUCCUGUGGGUGUUCAGGUCCCAGCCCAAGUCUGCUGCCCAGCAGGACCAAGGCUCAGGUUCCCGGUCCAGCUCCCAGAAUUCAAAGUCUGAGCCCACUUCAGCAUUUAAUUGUGGUUUUAUUUUUAACAAAUGAAAAUAAUUCAUGUAUCUAUAAAAACUGUUUGACCCACUAAUCUCAUUUUCUAAGAAUCUAUCACAAAGAUAGUCUAGAAAAAUAAGGGAAUUGCAAAGGUACAGUACCACUUAGAGCAGUGGAAAGCAGAAAGCAAUCUAAGGGCUAUCAACAGGAUAAUCUCAG
ensembl:lncRNA